GACGAACGCCGGCGGCGUGCUUAACACAUGCAAGUCGAACGGAAAGGCCCUGCUUGCAGGGUACUCGAGUGGCGAACGGGUGAGUAACACGUGGGUGAUCUGCCCUGCACUUCGGGAUAAGCUUGGGAAACUGGGUCUAAUACCGGAUAGGAGCCAUCUUUAGUGUGGUGGUUGGAAAGUUUUUUCGGUGUAGGAUGAGCUCGCGGCCUAUCAGCUUGUUGGUGGGGUAAUGGCCUACCAAGGCGGCGACGGGUAGCCGGCCUGAGAGGGUGUACGGCCACAUUGGGACUGAGAUACGGCCCAGACUCCUACGGGAGGCAGCAGUGGGGAAUAUUGCACAAUGGGCGCAAGCCUGAUGCAGCGACGCCGCGUGGGGGAUGAAGGCCUUCGGGUUGUAAACUCCUUUCGCUAGGGACGAAGCUUUUUUGUGACGGUACCUAGAUAAGAAGCACCGGCUAACUACGUG
rnacentral:rRNA from 1 species